ACAUCCAGCGAACUUUCCAGAGAUGGAUUGGUGCCUUCGGGAACGCUGAGACAGGUGCUGCAUGGCUGUCGCAGCUCGUGUUGUGAAAUGUUGGGUUAAGUCCCGCAACGAGCGCAACCCUUAUCCUUUGUUGCCAGCGAUUCGGUCGGGAACUCAAAGGAGACUGCCGGUGAUAAACCGGAGGAAGGUGGGGAUGACGUCAAGUCAUCAUGGCCCUUACGAGUAGGGCUACACACGUGCUACAAUGGCGCAUACAAAGAGAAGCGACCUCGCGAGAGCAAGCGGACCUCAUAAAGUGCGUCGUAGUCCGGAUCGGAGUCUGCAACUCGACUCCGUGAAGUCGGAAUCGCUAGUAAUCGUGGAUCAGAAUGCCACGGUGAAUAUGUUCCCGGGCCUUGUACACACCGCCCGUCACACCAUGGGAGUGGGUUGCAAAAGAAGUAGGUAGCUUAACCUUCGGGAGGGCGCUUACCACUUUGUGAUUCAUGACUGGGGUGAAGUCGUAACAAGGUAAGCGUAGCGAG
rnacentral:rRNA from 1 species